AUUGAACGCUGGCGGCAGGCCUAACACAUGCAAGUCGAACGGUAACAGAAAGCAGCUUGCUGCUUUGCUGACGAGUGGCGGACGGGUGAGUAAUGUCUGGGAAACUGCCUGAUGGAGGGGGAUAACUACUGGAAACGGUAGCUAAUACCGCAUAACGUCGCAAGACCAAAGAGGGGGACCUUCGGGCCUCUUGCCAUCGGAUGUGCCCAGAUGGGAUUAGCUAGUAGGUGGGGUAACGGCUCACCUAGGCGACGAUCCCUAGCUGGUCUGAGGGGAUGACCAGCCACACGGGAACUGAGACACGGUCCAGACUCCUACGGGAGGCAGCGGUGGGAAAUAUUGCACAAUGGGCGCAAGCCUGAUGCAGCCAUGCGGCGGGUAUGAAGAAGGCCUUCGGGUUGUAAAGUACUUUCAGCGGGAGGAAGGGAGUAAAGUUAAUACCUUUGCUCAUUGACGUUACCCGCAGAAGAAGCACCGGCUAACUCCGUG
rnacentral:rRNA from 1 species